rnacentral:rRNA from 1 species
GACGAACGCUGGCGGCGUGCUUAACACAUGCAAGUCGAACGAUGAAGCCCAGCUUGCUUGGUGGAUUAGUGUCGCACGGGUGUGUAACACACGAGCAACGUGCCCGCUACACUGGAAUAACUACCGGAAAAGGUGGGUAAUACACGGGAUAGGCCAGGGAGGCAUCUCCUCUGGUUGGAAAGAUUUUUCGGUUUCGGAUCGGCUCACGGCUUUUCGGCUUGUUGGUGGGGAAAUGGCCUACCAAGGGUAGGACGGGUAGCCGGCCUGGAGGGGUGACCGGCCACACUGGGACUGAGAAACGGCCCAGACUCCUACGGGAGGCAGCAGUGGGGAAUAUUGCACAAUGGGCGCAAGCCUGAUGCAGCAACGCCGCGUGAGGGAUGACGGCCUUCGGGUUGUAAACCUCUUUUAGUGGGGAAGAAGCGCAAGUGACGGUACCUGCAGAAAAAGCACCGGCUAACUACGUG